rnacentral:tRNA from 1 species
GCCGGGGUGGCGGAACUGGUAGACGCGCCGGAUUCAAAAUCCGGUUCCUUCACGGGAGUGUCGGUUCGAUUCCGACCUUCGGUACCA